CCUACGGGUGGCUGCAGUGGGGAAUAUUGGACAAUGGGGGCAACCCUGAUCCAGCCAUGCCGCGUGUGUGAAGAAGGCCCUCGGGUUGUAAAGCACUUUCAGUGAGGAAGAACGCCUGGUGGUUAAUACCCAUCAGGAAAGACAUCACUCACAGAAGAAGCACCGGCUAACUCCGUGCCAGCAGCCGCGGUAAUACGGAGGGUGCGAGCGUUAAUCGGAAUUACUGGGCGUAAAGCGCGCGUAGGUGGCUUGAUAAGCCGGUUGUGAAGCCCCGGGCUCAACCUGGGAACGGCAUCCGGAACUGUCAAGCUAGAGUGCAGGAGAGGAAGGUAGAAUUCCCGGUGUAGCGGUGAAAUGCGUAGAGAUCGGGAGGAAUACCAGUGGCGAAGGCGGCCUUCUGGACUGACACUGACACUGAGGUGCGAAAGCGUGGGUAGCAAACAGGAUUAGAUACCCCAGUAGUC
rnacentral:rRNA from 1 species